UUCUUGCCCUAACGGGUAGAAUUCCCACCCUUGUGUAACAUAAUUAUCUGUUGCUUUGGCGGGUCGCGAGUUUACUUGCCCUGUGUACCCGCCAGAGAACCCCUAAACUCUGAAUAUUAGUGUCGUCUGAGUACUAUAUAAUAGUUAAAACUUUCAACAACGGAUCUCUUGGUUCUGGCAUCGAUGAAGAACGCAGCGAAAUGCGAUAAGUAAUGUGAAUUGCAGAAUUCAGUGAAUCAUCGAAUCUUUGAACGCACAUUGCGCCCCUUGGUAUUCCGGGGGGCAUGCCUGUUCGAGCGUCAUUAUAACCAAUCCAGCAUGCUGGGUCUUGGGCUAUCGCCUCCCUGGCGGGCCUUAAAAACAGUGGCGGUGCUCUCAAGCUCUACGCGUAGUAAUUAUUCUCGCUAUUGGGUCUUGAGGGAUGCUUGCCAACAACCCCCAACUUCUUAGGUUGACCUCGGAUCAGGUAGGGAUACCCGCUGAACUUAAGCAUAUCAAUAA
rnacentral:sRNA from 1 species